rnacentral:misc_RNA from 1 species
AACCAUAGAAACCUGCGGAGUACCUGCGGAAGGAUCAUUACAGAGUUGCAAAACUCCCAACCCUUUGUGAAUCCUACCUGUUUAGUUGCUUCGGCAGGCAGCCCCAGGGCGGGGUCUUUUGCUUGUUUACAGGCGUCUGCCGAAGGAUUUUAAAACUCUUUAAUGCUUUCUGUGGCUCUGAGUUAAAAAGACAAAAUAAGUCAAAACUUUCAGCAACGGAUCUCAGAUCGGAAGAGCACA